GUGCGGACGGGUGAGUAAUCCAUCGGAACGUAUCCUAAAGUGGGGGAUAACGCAUCGAAAGAUGUGCUUAAUCCCGCAUAUACUCUGAGGAGGAAAGUAGGGGAUCGAAAGACCUUAUGCUUUUGGAGCGGCCAAUGUCUGAUUAGCUAGUUGGUAAGGUAAUGGCUUACCAAGGCAACGAUCAGUAGUUGGUCUGACAGCACGCCCAGCCCUACUGGGACUGAGCCCGGCCCAGACUCCUACGGGAGGCAGCAGUGGGGAAUUUUGGACAAUGGGCGCAAGCCUGAUCCAGCAAUGCCGCGUGAGUGAAGAAGGCCUUCGGGUUGUAAAGCUCCUUUCAGUUGAGAAGAAAAGAUUGUAACUAAUAAUUACAUCCGUGACGGUUGGUCCCCCGAGUUGACGG
rnacentral:rRNA from 1 species